rnacentral:rRNA from 1 species
GUAGGGAAUAUUGGGCAAUGGGCGCAAGCCUGACCCAGCCAUGCCGCGUGAGGGAAGAAGGCCCACUGGGUUGUAAACCUCUUUUCACUGGGAAUAAAGGUCGUAUAACUUACGGCUGUGAAUGUACCAGUGGAAUAAGCACCGGCAAACUACGUGCCAGCAGCCGCGGUAAUACGUAGGGUGCAAGCGUUGUCCGGAUUUACUGGGUUUAAAGGGUGCGCAGGCGGGCUAUUAAGUCUGUGAUGAAAUGUCAGGGAUCAACCUUGGCGCUGUUGCGGAAACUAAUAGUCUUGAGAUCUGUUGAGGUAGCUGGAAUGAGUGGUGUAGCGGUGAAAUGCGUAGAGAUCACUCGGAACACCGAUUGCGAAGGCAGGUUACUAAGCAGCAUCUGACGCUCAGGCACGAAAGCGUGGGUAGCAAACAGGAUUAGAUACCCUAGUAGUCC